rnacentral:rRNA from 1 species
GACUCGCGGCCUAUCAGCUUGUUGGUUGGGGUAAUGGCCCACCAAGGCGACGACGGGUAGCCGGCCUGAGAGGGUGACCGGCCACACUGGGACUGAGACACGGCCCAGGACUCCUACGGGAGGCAGCAGUGGGGAAUAUUGCACAAUGGGCGAAAGCCUGAUGCAGCGACGCCGCGUGAGGGAUGACGGCCUUCGGGUUGUAAACCUCUUUCAGCAGGGAAGAAGCGAAAGUGACGGUACCUGCAGAAGAAGCGCCGGCUAACUACGUGCCAGCAGCCGCGGUAAUACGUAGGGCGCAAGCGUUAUCCGGAAUUAUUGGGCGUAAAGAGCUCGUAGGCGGUUUGUCGCGUCUGCUGUGAAAGCCCGGGGCUCAACCCCGGGUCUGCAGUGGGUACGGGCAGACUAGAGUGCAGUAGGGGAGACUGGAAUUCCUGGUGUAGCGGUGAAAUGCGCAGAUAUCAGGAGGAACACCGAUGGCGAAGGCAGGUCUCUGGGCUGUAACUGACGCUGAGGAGCGAAAGCAUGGGGAGCGAACAGGAUUAGAUACCCUGGUAGUCCAUGCCGUAAACGUUGGGCACUAGGUGUGGGGGACAUUCCACGUUUUCCGCGCCGUAGCUAACGCAUUAAGUGCCCCGCCUGGGGAGUACGGCCGCAAGGCUAAAACUCAAAGGAAUUGACGGGGGCCCGCACAAGCGGCGGAGCAUGCGGAUUAAUUCGAUGCAACGCGAAGAACCUUACCAAGGCUUGACAUGAACCGGUAAGACCUGGAAACAGGUCCCCCACUUGUGGCCGGUUUACAGGUGGUGCAUGGUUGUCGUCAGCUCGUGUCGUGAGAUGUUGGGUUAAGUCCCGCAACGAGCGCAACCCUCGUUCUAUGUUGCCAGCGGGUUAUGCCGGGGACUCCUAAGGAAACUGCCGGGGUCAACUCGGAAGGAAGGUGGGGGACAACGUCAAAUCUUCUUGCCCCUUAAGGCUUGGGCUUCCCCGAUGCUACAAUGGCCCGGUACAAAGGGUUC